rnacentral:rRNA from 1 species
AUUGAACGCUGGCGGCAUGCCUUACACAUGCAAGUCGAACGGCAGCACGGGAGCUUGCUCCUGGUGGCGAGUGGCGAACGGGUGAGUAAUACAUCGGAACGUACCCAGUAGUGGGGGAUAACGCACCGAAAGGUGCGCUAAUACCGCAUACGACCUACGGGUGAAAGCGGGGGACCGUAAGGCCUCGCGCUAUUGGAGCGGCCGAUGUCUGAUUAGCUAGUUGGCGGGGUAAAAGCCCACCAAGGCGACGAUCAGUAGCUGGUCUGAGGGGACGAUCAGCCACACUGAGACUGAGACACGGCCCAGACUCCUACGGGAGGCAGCAGUGGGGAAUUUUGGACAAUGGGGGCAACCCUGAUCCAGCAAUGCCGCGUGUGCGAAGAAGGCCUUCGGGUUGUAAAGCACUUUUGUCAGGGAAGAAAUCUUUCAGGCUAAUACCCUUGGAAGGAUGACGGUACCUGAAGAAUAAGCACCGGCUAACUACGUGCCAGCCGCCGCCGUAA